rnacentral:rRNA from 1 species
UACAGAGGUCUCAAGCGUUGUUCGGAUUCAUUGGGCGUAAAGGGUGCGUAGGUGGCGCUGUAAGUCGGGUGUGAAAUUUCGGAGCUUAACUCCGAAACUGCAUUCGAUACUGCGGUGCUUGAGGACUGGAGAGGAGACUGGAAUUCAUGGUGUAGCAGUGAAAUGCGUAGAGAUCAUGAGGAAGACCAGUGGCGAAGGCGGGACUCUGGACAGUUCCUGACACUGAGGCACGAAGGCCAGGGGAGCAAACGGG